rnacentral:RNase_P_RNA from 1 species
ACUACAAACCGAACUAUCGCAACUCUUAUGGAGUUGAGGAAAGUCCGGACAGCUUAGAGCAAUGUACCGGUUAAGAGCCGGGUGGUGGUAACACCAACAGAAAGUGCCACAGAAAAUAACUGCCUUUGGGUUAGGGUGAAAACGUGAGGUAAGAGCUCACGGUAGCGUAUAGUGAUAUACGUUACGGGUAAACCUUGCAUGCUGAAAUGCCAUGUAAGCCAGUCUUUGAGGGCUGCUCGUCCGAUCCUUCGGGAGGGCUGGUGGGUAGGCAGAUAGAUCGUAGCAGUAAUGCUGCGACCAGAUAAAUGAUAGUUUAGAAACAGAAUCCGGCUUACGAGUUUGUAGUUUUU